rnacentral:rRNA from 1 species
AGCCUAAGGGAAUUAAUCUUAGGUCAAACCUGCCCAAUGUAAAAAGUAGUAUUAAUGGCCGCGGUACCUUGACCGUGCUAAGGUAGCGAAAUCAAUUGGCUUUUAAUUGGAGUCAGGUAUGAAUGGAAUUACGUGGUUCAACUGUCUCCUUAACAAUUAUUCGAAGUUACUAUAUAGAUGAAAAAGUCUUUGACAAGAAAAAAGACGAGAAGACCCUUAGAGUUUUUCUGAAAGCAAAUUUUAUAUAUUUGUAUGAAGUUUAGUUGGGGCAACUAAAGAAAAUAUUCAAAAUUUCUUGAUUUAAACUAGCCGACAAUUGUAAGUUUGUGUAAACUACCUUAGGGAUAACAGCAUUAUGUAAAAAAUAAGUUUGUGACCUCGAUGUUGGACUGGGAAACUGAAAGGCUAGCCGUUUUUUAGGAAAGUUCUGUUCGAACUGCUAUUCCC